AGGGGAGAAGUAAACCAGAGUCCGGGCCUCCUGCUGGGAGGGGAUGGCGCUGCGCCUACCUGCAGCUGGGCAACCCUCCUCUGGUCCCACUCCUGCACCCCACAUCUCCCACCGCUCCGGGAGCGACCCCUCCCGGGUGAGAGGGAAUCAGGGGAGAUGGGCAGGGGCUAGAUGGCGGUAAGCUUAGGAAGUACUCUUUCCCGCCAGGAAAGAAGGCUGACUGUGCUGGCUGCUCGCUCCCGUGUAGGACCCGCCGCUGGGGAAAACGAGCCGCUUUCCGGGCGGGUUUUGCAGAUUAAGAAUUAGGGCAUGCGUUGCUCCUCUCGGUCUUCUACUCCUUGCUGUCUUGGCCUCCUUUUAACUCAUUCACAUGAUCUUACAGAAGUUUUAUUUCAUUUUUGUUAUGUGUGCUUUUCUCCUGAUCCCUCUGAGGGCCCUGACUCCAGCUAGAGAGCAAGCAUUCAAAAGUAUCCUUUCUCGUGCAAAGGAUACUUAAGGCAAACUGGCGAAAGUAGGGGCAGGAGCCUGGCGAAACCAUUGGAGCCAAGAGACUGUCUGCAUAUAUCAUUCUCAACUGCGAGCCUCCUCGAUCGCCUUUCAGAUUGAUUUUCAGGGGGCGGCAGAGAGAGGGAUAAGGGGGAGGUCAAACAUUUGGCUACCCCAGACAACAAGUACAUGGGAGAGUAAGCAAGUCGGUGGCUUCGGGCUGCUUUAGGGAGAGGUCUAGCACUUCGCUGCCUGGAACCCUGCAGCAUUGCGGAUGUGGACAGCACCGUUUCUAAGUGUUCUGCUUUGUUCUGAGGAGGAGACUUUCUUUCCUGAAAUAAAGAGAAAAAGCAGAUAAUGUUUUGGGGAUGCCAAGAGCACAGUAUUCGUUUUUAUUUUCUGUAUAUUGGAUGAAAGAGAAAAUGCAUCUGCACAGGGUAGACCAUCAAGAAGGGGAAGAUGUUAAUUAUCAUGAGUUGAUGUUCUCUAAUAGCUUCUUCAUGGUGUGCAAUAUAGUGAUUCUACACUUCCGUGCAAGACCGGGUAUUCAUCCAGCAAGUAUUUUUAUUUAUUUUUGUCCCAAGUGAAAUCAUUCUACUUUUCUCUCUAAAAACAACAAACAUACAUGUGUGCAGCAGGGUGAAGGAACAAUAUUGUGACAUAAAAAACAAUAAUGUUUUUGAAAGUGCUUUGAAGAGUUAGAAAUACUUUCUCAAGUCCAAAGAUUUUUACUAUCAUAAUUUAUAUGGACACUUUUACAUUUAAUUGGUGGAUAUUUCUACUGUUGAGACAUUCAAGUCAUAAAUGAAAAUAAGGCUGAAAUUGGUGUACGUACACAGAGGACAAAUGAAUUUCUGCAGAAGCUAAAGAUACAGGAAUGGGAGAAAACCGGGCUUGAAUAGCUAUACAGACUUGCUGUGGACAGAGACUGCAGCUGAAUUUCUCUCAUAGAAGCCUGGGACUUAUGGCCUCGUGUGUAUAGAUGAACUUUGCUGAAGCAUUGAGCUCUGAUUAAUGCAAUUAAAUGAGUAAAGGUAUGUGGUAUUGUCCUCAAGGUUUCUGUUUCUCCUACUAUACUCUUAUUUUUCUAUAGAUGAGUAGUUGAAAACUGUACUGGAUGUGGCUUUUCAUCUCUGUGUUAUUUACCUAUAUUGUGAUGGAAACACAGGAGCAGAGAAAAUGUGUCUUUUAAAGCACUGAAGGACCAUAGUGCUGUUAAUGGUCUUUGUCCUCUUUUCCUUAGGACAGUCUUUAUCUUGAGUUAUUCAGAUGUUUCUUGGUGAAGUGAAAGAGACAAAGAGGUUUUGGUUGCUGAGGAAAGCAGAAUUCAUUUUAUUGUUUCUUUCUAUUUUUUUUUUUUGCUAUUUUUUUAUAAUUUAUUUUUAUUUAUUUUCAGCAUAACGAUAUUUGUUAUUUUUGCACCACACCCAGUGCUCCAUACAAUCCGUGACCUCUCCAAUACCCACCACCUGGUAUCCCAACCUCCCACCCCCCUGCCCCUUCAAAACCCUCAGAUUGUUUUUCAGAGUCCAUGGUCUCUCAUGGUUCACCUCCCCUUCCAAUUUCCCCCAACUCCCUUCUUCUCUCUAACUCCCCAUGUCCUCCAUGCUAUUUGUUAUGCUCCACAAAUAAGUGAAACCAUAUAAUAAUUGACUCUGCUUGACUGAUUUCACUCAGCAUAAUCUCUUCCAGUCCCAUCCAUGUUGCUACAAAAGUUGGGUAUUCGUCCUUUCCGAUGGAAGCAUAAUACUCCAUAGUGUAUAUGGAACACAUCUUCCUUAUCCAUUCAUCCGUUGAAGGGCAUCUUGGUUCUUUCCACAGUUUGGUGACCAUGGCCAUUGCUGCUAUGAACAUUGGGGUGCAGAUGGCCCUUCUUUUCACUGCAUCAGUAUCUUUGGGGUAAAUACCCAGGAGUGCAAUUGCAGGGUCAUAGGGAAGCUCUAUUUUUAAUUUCUUGAAGAAUCUCCACACUGUUCUCCAAAGAGGCUGCACCAACUUGCAUUCCCACCAACAGUGUAAGAGGGUUCCCCUUUCUUAUUGUUUCUUUUUAAUUUUUUUUAUUUUUAUAAUUUCUUUUCAGUGUACCAGAAUUCAUGGUUUAUGCACCAUAGCCAGUGCUCCAUGCAAUACAUGCCCUCCAUAAUACCCAUCACCAGGAUCACCCAACUUCCCACCCCCCGCCCCUUCAAAACCCUCAGAUUGUUUUUCAGAGUCCAUAGUCUCUCCUGGUUCAUCUCCCCUUCCAAUUUUCCUCAACUCCCUUCUCUUCUCCAUCUCCCCAUGUCCUCCGUGUUAUUCCUUAUGCUCCACAAAUAAGUGAAACCAUAUGAUAAUUGACUCUCUCUGCUUGACUGAUUUCACUCAACAUAAUCUCUUCCAGUCCCGUCCAUGUUGCUACAAAAGUUGAGUAUUCAUCCUUUCUGAUGGAGGCAUAAUACUCUGUAGUGUAUAUGGACCACAUCUUCCUUAUGCAUUCAUCCGUUGAAGGGCAUCUUGGUUCUUUCCACAGUUUGGUGACCGUGGCCAUUGCUGCUUAUAAACAUUGGGGUACAGAUGGCCCUUCUUUUCACUACAUCUGUAUCUUUGGGGUAAAUACCCAGGAGUGCAAUGGCAGGGUCAUAGGGAAGCUCUAUUUUUACUUUCUUAAGGAAUUUCCACACUGUUCUCCAAAGUGGAAAGCAGAAUUAUUUUUUAUUGUUUCUUUUAACAUUUUAUUGUUUCUUUUAACAUGGAGAUUGAGUUUAAUUUUUUUUCCCCCAUUCUACUAAUACUCCUAUGUAGUCAUCUCCUCAAGAAAUAGGUAUCAGCUCUUGCUCUAAAUUUAGGAAAUACACACACAUAAGAGACUAAUCAUGUAAUUUUUCCAGAGCAAUAUACUAGCAUUGGUAAAAAUAUACAUUUUUUUAAAGAGUUCUGGGCUAAUAUCGUACCACUCUGAGCCUUCUUUAAUACUCUUUAUUUCUGUUUUAAGGUAUGGCUAUGAACUAAUUAACUGAACUUUUAUAUAGUUUGUGAAAUCAGUUAUAUUUUUGAUGUAUGAUAACAAAUAUACUGUGUAUUUGUGUAUUUGAUUGAAAUGUAGAAAAUUAUUUAACUUUUUAAACAACUGUUAUGUUUUAAUCAACAUAGUGUUUAGUAGAUUGCUACUUUGAGCCAGUUUUUUUUAAUAGAAUGCUGCAGAUAUCUCAUUUUAAGUGAUUAGAUGUGUGUUUAGAUAACUAAUGUAGAGUUUCUGUUUUCUUUUAAGACUGGAAAUUUUUAUUUUAUCAUUACUGAAACUUAGAUGAAUGUCAGUUUCUGUGUUUGGAUAGAGUGUUAAAACCAAGACUUCUCAUUUACCAAAGCACAGCUGGUCUCCACUAUUACUUUAAGAUUUCCUUUCACAUAAGGUGAAGAGCAGUGAUUCACCUUACUCUCAUGCAAAAAAAAAAAAAAAAAAAAAAGUCUUGAAUUUUUCAAUUAAUCACUAUUUGUUGACUAAGUUCUAAAGAAAGUUAAACUAUAGAUGCAAUUUGGCACAUGACUGAUUCUGUUGUGUUUGUCUUUUUUUGACAGGCUACAUAGGGAAGGAAAAAGUGUUUGGAGCAUAGAGGGUUCUCUUUUUAAAGAAAAAAAAAUCAUAACAAAAUUGGCAAUGAAAAUAAAAUACUGUUUCUGGA